rnacentral:rRNA from 1 species
CAGGUCUUGACAUCCCUUGACAACUCCAGAGAUGGAGCGUUCCCUUCGGGGACAAGGUGACAGGUGGUGCAUGGUUGUCGUCAGCUCGUGUCGUGAGAUGUUGGGUUAAGUCCCGCAACGAGCGCAACCCUUAUUACUAGUUGCCAGCAUUCAGUUGGGCACUCUAGUGAGACUGCCGGUGACAAACCGGAGGAAGGUGGGGAUGACGUCAAAUCAUCAUGCCCCUUAUGACCUGGGCUACACACGUGCUACAAUGGCGUAUACAACGAGUUGCCAACCCGCGAGGGUGAGCUAAUCUCUUAAAGUACGUCUCAGUUCGGAUUGCAGGCUGCAACUCGCCUACAUGAAGUCGGAAUCGCUAGUAAUCGCGGAUCAGCACGCCGCGGUGAAUACGUUCCC